AGCGAUGCCGCGUGAGUGAAGAAGGCCUUUGGGUUGUAAAGCUCUUUCGUCGGGGAAGAAAAUGACUGUACCCGAAUAAGAAGGUCCGGCUAACUUCGUGCCAGCAGCCGCGGUAAUACGAAGGGACCUAGCGUAGUUCGGAAUUACUGGGCUUAAAGAGCUCGUAGGUGGUUAAAAAAGUUGGUGGUGAAAUCCCAAGGCUUAACCUUGGAACUGCCACCAAAACUUUUUAACUAGAGUAUGAUAGAGGAAAGUGGAAUUUCUAGUGUAGAGGUGAAAUUCGUAGAUAUUAGAAAGAACACCAAUUGCGAAGGCAACUUUCUGGAUCAUUACUGACACUGAGGAGCGAAAGCAUGGGUAGCGAAGAGGAUUAGAUACCCUCGUAGUCCAUGCCGUAAACGAUGUGUGCUAGACGUUGGAAAUUUAUUUUU
rnacentral:rRNA from 1 species